AAUAAUGGAGUCCAGAAACCAUUCAAAAAAACGGGGCGUAAUCCAAAAAGCCUUACGAGUAGGAAAG
rnacentral:ncRNA from 1 species